rnacentral:rRNA from 1 species
GCAAGUCGAACGGUAGCAGCAGAGCUUGCUCUGGCUGACGAGUGGCGGACGGGUGCGUAACGCGUGGGAAUUUACCUUGUAGUGGGGGAUAGCCCGGAGAAAUCCGGAUUAAUACCGCAUAAUCUCUACGGAGCAAAGUGGGGGAUCUUCGGACCUCACGCUAUUAGAUGAGCCCGCGUUGGAUUAGCUUGUUGGUGGGGUAAUGGCUCACCAAGGCGACGAUCCAUAGCCGACCUGAGAGGGUGAUC